GCUCCAGUCAGUACCACCCUGAAUGCUCCCUAUCCUGCCUGAUCUCAGAAGCUAAGCAGGGUCAGGGUCGGAGGUCACCCAAAAUUUGAAUGUAAGAAAUUUGUUGAGAUUUCAUCU
rnacentral:rRNA from 1 species